AUUGAACGCUGGCGGAAUGCUUUACACAUGCAAGUCGAGCGGCAGCGCGGGGCAACCUGGCGGCGAGCGGCGAACGGGUGAGUAAUACAUCGGAACGUGCCCAGACGUGGGGGAUAACUACUCGAAAGAGUGGCUAAUACCGCAUACGAUCUAAGGAUGAAAGCGGGGGAUCGCAAGACCUCGCGCGUUUGGAGCGGCCGAUGGCAGAUUAGGUAGUUGGUGGGGUAAAGGCUUACCAAGCCCGCGAUCUGUAGCUGGUCUGAGAGGAUGAUCAGCCACACUGGGACUGAGACACGGCCCAGACUCCUACGGGAGGCAGCAGUGGGGAAUUUUGGACAAUGGGCGAAAGCCUGAUCCAGCCAUUCCGCGUGCAGGAUGAAGGCCCUCGGGUUGUAAACUGCUUUUGUACAGAACGAAAAAGACUCUUUCUAAUACAGAGAGUCCAUGACGGUACUGUAAGAAUAAGCACCGGCUAACUACGUGCCAGCAGCCGCGGUAAU
rnacentral:rRNA from 1 species